AUGGAUUCUGCCUAUAAGCUUGUCGUUCCGGAGCAGUACGACCGAGUCAUUUCUGCCGAGCUCCCAGACAAGCAGAAGUAUCCUGAACUCCAUGCCUUGGUGGUGAAACAUAUGAUGCACGGACCAUGCGGUGUUCUCAAUCCCAAAAAUGUGUGCAUGCAACAGAAUGAGUGCAAGUGCAGAUACCCGCGGCCGUUCAAUGAAAACACGGCACAGGGUAAGGACUCAUACCCUGUUUAUCGUCGUCGAGAUAAUGGUCGGCAGGCUAAGGUCCGGGGUAAAAUGUUGGACAACAGAUGGGUUGUUCCGUAUAACCCUUACCUUCUGCGGAUGUUCAAUUGCCACAUCAACGUUGAGGUUUGCUCCAGCAUAAAGGCCGUCAAAUACCUUUACAAGUACAUAUACAAGGGCCAUGAUAGGGCUUCUUUCAGCAUCGACCAGCCCGACGCCGAUGGUAACAUUGAUGAGAUCAAAAGAUACGUAGACGCGAGGUGGGUUACUCCUCCAGAGGCGAUGUGGAGGAUAUUUGGCUUCCCCUUGUGUGCCAAUGAGCCGCCUGUCCUACAGUUGCCUCUUCAUCUCCCGAAUAUGCACAGGGUGGCAUUCAAUGAGCAAGCUCACUUGACCGACGUAGUCGCCUCUGAGAAAGCUUCCAAAUCCAUGUUGACAGAGUAUUUCAAAGCUAACCAAGACCACCCAUGGGCUAGAAAUAUAUUGUACAAGGAUUUUCCCGGAAGGUUCACAUGGCAGAAGGGUAAGAAGUAUUGGAAAGAGCGGGUGGAGCGUUUUCAGAUAGGUCGAAUUGUGUCUGCCAAUCCUGCCGAGGGGGAGCGAUACUAUCUGCGUGUGCUACUAAACCAUGUUGCUGGCAAAACAUCAUAUGAGGACCUGCUCACCGUGGACGGUAGGCUAUGCAGGAGCUUUAGAGAGGCUGCCGAAAGGUUGGGACUCAUCGAGGCAGAUAACACGCUCGACGACUGUCUCACCGAGGCAGAGCAGUGGGCGAUGCCAUGUUCGCUCAGGAGGCUCUUCGCAACAAUUUUGGUGCACUGUGAGCCAGGCGACAUGCGUGGUUUAUGGGAUAGGCACUUCGAGCAUAUGUAUGAUGACUAUCGGCGAUCACACACGUGCCCGAUUGAGGUGGAACAAAUGGUGUUGCUUGACAUUAGGGGUAUGUUGCAGUCCAUGGGCAAAGACAUAGCUGAUUUCGCUCUUCCAUGCAUUGACGACUCGUUCGACCCAACCGAGGGCGAGGCCAGAGAAGUGAUCGAGGAAUCCAACGUCGAUUUUGACAUCAAUGACACUAAAUUGGCUUCGUCGCUAAACUCAGAGCAGAGGGCUGCAUAUGACGAGAUACUAGCUUCUGUUGAACGCGGUGAUGGGGGUGUGUUCUUUGUUGAUGGCCCGGGAGGUACAGGGAAGACAUUCCUGUACAGGGCGCUGCUCGCCAAGGUUCGAAGCGAGGGAAACAUCGCUAUCGCUACCACGACGUCAGGCGUCGCCGCUUCUAUCAUGCCUGGAGGCAGGACUGCCCACUCGAGGUUCAAGAUCCCAUUGAGCUGCGACGAUGGCGCCUCAUGA
rnacentral:rRNA from 1 species